CAAAUACUCCCUCCGUCCGGAAAUACUUGUCCGAGGAAUGGAUGUAUCUAGAUGUAUUUUAGUUCUAGAUACAUCCAUUUGUAUCCAUUUCUACGACAAGUAUUUCCGGACGGAGGUAGUAUUAC
rnacentral:pre_miRNA from 1 species